CGCAUGCGCACAGGGCCCCGCGGAGGGGCCGCGCCUCAGCGCGGGCGGGAAAGCGGCGGCGCCCGCGGCCCGGUCGCGGCCUCCCUGGGGCCGGUGUGGCCGCAGCCCGGGGCAGGCCCUUGCCCGCGCUCCUGGGGGAGGCCUGCCCUGUCCCCCGGCCCCCACCUUCGCCCGCCGCCGCCCCGCAGGUGCCAGGCCCCGGGCGCGCGUUGGCGAUGCUCGUCUCCUUGCCUUUGCCCAGAGCAGUGCGCGGUCGGCCGCAGCUCGCGCAAGCGCCAUUAUGCCUGACUCCUGUCUGCUUGACAGGGGCCAGAGCUGCGCCAGCGCGGGUGCACGCAGCUCGAGGUGCCGCUUAGGUGGUCUCGCCUGGCUUCGUGGCGGGCGAGCCGUUGCGCCGGCGGGCGGUUACUGCUGCGCUGGGCAGAGUCGCCUGUGCUCAGCCGGGCUGCCUUGCGGGGCCGCGGCCCCUUCUGCGCCGAGGACAUCCAGGAGCGGGAAGGUCUGCGUUCUUCUUGGCUUCCUGUUCUCACUCUAAAAAUCCUACUGUAGUAAUUGCAAACCUGGGUGACUGAGUCUCCCUUUACGCGGAUAGCUUUGCGUAUGGUGUGUGAAGCCCAUUUUGACAAGAUGAGGGCUGGUCCUUGCAAACCUGAGCAGCAGCUCUCUUGCGUAGCAGGGAUUCCCCGUUAGGAACUCCUCUGGGAACCUCCCUAAAAGCUGACUCUCGAUCCGGGUAAUACAAGCUCUAGUGGCGUUGCAUCAUGGUGUUGCGUAGACGGGACAAAACACCAAUAAGGGUUUCAUCCUUCCAAAGCUGAGUAUUGCAGUGACACAGUGACUGGCCAAUUUAUGCAGUCGGAAGAAGUACACAAACACGGCAGCAAGUUUGAUGUGUCAUAGGUGUUUACCUGCAGAGAGAUGAUUCAGAGGAGUGGAAUAUAUUGAUUUGUCCCCACGCUGAUGUUCCAGUUCAGCACUGGUCUGGGUCCAACCAGCUCAGAGCGGGUGCAGCCAGUUUUCCUUAUGUGGAGAAUGCUGAACUGGAGGACAACAGUGGGCGCUGAUUGGAAAUGAGGAAUUCAGGCAUCCAGCCAAGUGAAAGGGGGAGUUUUGAAAGUACUGGUACGUGAAAUCACAGUUUGCACCCAUUGCCUCUCAUCCUCCCGCCAUGCACUGCUGGAAGGAGCCUGGCUCCAUCUUCCCGACACCCUCCUUGCAGGUCCCAGCUGGCUGUGACAAAGCCCCCCCGAGCUGUCACUUCUCCAGGCUGAACAAGCCCAGCUCCCUCAGCCCCCUGGGCAUCUCGGUGACCCUCCGAUGACUUGCUCCACUUUAACGAUGUCUUUCCUAUACUGGGGGGAAGCAGGGGGCAAAACUGGAUGCAGUAGCUGGAUGGAGUCUAACAAGUGCCAAGUAGAGUGGGAAAAUCACCGCCCCCAGCUUACAGGCUGUGCCGCUGCGCAGGAGGAGCAGGGCUCUGCCCACAGAGCCCAGGACGCUGUUGCCUUUGCGGCCGCUGGCGUGCACUCAGCUGUGUCCACCGGGACCCCCGGGGCCUUUUCUGCAGGGGGGCUCUUCCUCCCUGGGGCAGGGUUUGCGUUGGCUCUUGGUGACUCUCAUGGUCCCCGUUGGCCCAUUCCUCCAGCCAGCCUCGGUCCCGUGGGGUGGCAGCGCUGCCCUCACACACAUCGCAACGGACCCCACCGGCUGUCACCCGCAGACUUCCUGAGCACAGGCGCUGGCCAGGCUGCAGCCAGGCACCUCUGACCCUCCUGGCCUUUGGUUUCCCUGUAGAGCCCUGUGCUCUCAAGAAAUGCCCAGCAGAAACAGGAGCCGGGAGGACUGAGCUCUUCUUACAGAGUUAGCGAUACCAUUGGUACCACGCACAGCCGUGGCUGCUGCCAGGGGACGUAAAGAUCGCUUGUAACGUAUCGCUCAGCAGCUCCAAGCCCCACUGCACAGCCGAAGUGGCUUUGCCUUGGCAUGCGAGUAAAGCAGAGGUGAGCUCUGGGUCUGAAACCUCUCUGGCCUUGGAACGUCCUGAACAAGAUCUCGGCUUCCCGGCCCGGCUUCCCCGUGUGCCUGCUCUGGGACGGCACUGGCAAACCCUUCUCUCUCCUCACCGUCUCACCAGGGUUGGGGAAACUUGAGGCUGAGUUACAAGACAAAGAACAAAAGUCCCAGGGGAACCUCGCCAGCAUAGUCAUCUCCACACAUGCAAAGGUCCCUUCUGCUUUUUUUUUUCCCCUUUGAAAUUUCAAACUCCAGUUUGUGGACAAAGUCCUGCCUAUCUGAGAAUAUAGAUCUCCGACCACUGACCAAACUCCAUUCCAAGCACAUCUCGAGGUCUGCUUUUCCCCUUGCCCACGGAUCCCUCCACUCAGUCCCCGGAUCUGCUGGGAUCACACCGAAACUUUUGCACCAGAACAGAGCUCUCAUGCUUGCGCAAAAUGGAUUUGCACACUUCAAUUUAGCAGCUUCCUUUCUAAACGUGGAAUGGAGAAGGAUCGUCCGUAAUAAUCAGUGCUGAAGUUCCCGUGGGUCUGGUUGGAAUAGAUGCUGCUUGGAGACUGCUGAGUCUGUGAGGUGCUGCGUGCGUUGGCUGGGACGCCGUAUAGGAUGGUGUGAUGGCUAAGCCAGAAGGGCUGGUGGUGCCUGAGCAGACACCGGACACGUUGCCGCUGGAGAGCUCCCUGACGUGCGCCAGGAUUCAGGGCUCCCCACGGCACAGGGAGCUGGGGGUGACGGCAGCUGAACACCAACCUCAGGCUGUUUCUCACCUGUGCUGAAGUUCUCAAAAAGUGGCCAAACUGACCGAAUCAGUCCAGGUCCCCCAGUCCAUAAAAUCCCUCUAUUGAGGAUCAAGGCGAUUUUUGGACAUGUGGAAUAGACACACUUCAAAGGAGGUAGAAGAUUCUUCUUGAAAUCGUCUCCAAAAACAACACAUGCGUUUCAGCUGAAGCUGGAAAGGCUGUUGGAGCUGGAUGUAAUCCAUGGAGCCUAAUAAAGAGCUGCUAUGCAAAAGGGCUAGGGAAAGAACUGCAAACACGGGGACACACAGACCAUUUCAGCAUAUACUGCUUCAGCGAUAACACUGUGCUCGCCUUUCAUCCCCGGAUCAGAAAGGGGUUUAUUAUGCUGACGAACAAAGGCUCUAAACACUUGAGGAAGUAAUUAUUAUUACUCUUGGGAGCUGCUGUUUUGCAAGGACAGUAGAAGCAAAGAAAGUCUGAGCUGUUCCCAGAAUGGCAGCUGCACUCAGAAAUGCCAGUGCCUUUGCCUGUCUGCUCUGUAUUUGCAGUCACUCUGACUACACUGCAGCCUCCCAAACAGUAUGUGCGUUCUCAUACCCACAAGUGUGCACUUGUAACUGAAAAUCUGGCUGAUGUGUUUUUACACAAAAAUCAUGUGAUGAGCCCAAAAGCAAACCAGGAAGAGGAGCCAUUAGCUCCAUCUUGUUCCAUUGCACCACAUUGGGCAACUUGGCCCAAGUCACAGCUUCCUCCAAGUUACAGAUUCCACUCGCUCCCCCCAAAUCCAUAUAACUAGUAAGCAUUUCCUUAAAUCCAAAACCCAGCUGAACAGAAACCCAAAUGCUUUCCAGCAAAACAUUCUCCUGCCUAUUUGAGAGAAAUUCAAGAAAAGCUCUGGAGCGGCUUUGCCAUGUGAUUUUCCAAAUUCACUGUCUGCACUGGCAGAUUGAAUCCAGCAAUUUAAACCCCAAGCUGCAGGAAAGCAGAAGUCCCAGGGAAGCAGAUGCACUAGUGAGAAAGUUUGCUGCCAUAUUUUCCACUCAGCAAAGAGCAAUGAGUACUUAUGGCCCUCCUUGCCUAGCCAACUCACACAUUUCAUAUGGCAGGGAUCUCGGCAGCCCGUCUGGAUCUAUAGAGAACUUGUUUAGCAGAUAAAUACAAUCCCUUUGGAACUUAAGUAAUCCUACAAUUUCCCAGGAAAAAGAUCCCUACUCAGUUCACAGUGUGGCAGACAAAUGAAUGUCUCUGCUUACCCCUGCUAGGUGUUUGCAGUGCGUUUAGGUUUCAUUUACUUUAUGCCUGAUGUUCAUUGCACACACAUGAAGCAGUGCCUGAAUCGUUCCAGGUGGUGGGGCAAUAGGCAGAGGAGAACAGCCAAAAUCAACAAAGAUUACAAAGCAAGUUUUACUUUUUUGUAUGUAUUUUAUCUUUCUGCAAAGGUGGAUUUCAUCAGCAUGCCAUGCCUGCUGGAAGUGACCCCGAGUCGCGCCUGGCGCUCUUGGGAUCAGCCCUCGCUAACUCUGGGGGAGGGCUGAUGAAGUUAAGGCAAGAGACUGUGCAAAACUGCUGCGGGUGCGAAGGGAGAGCUGGAGCAGCAUGAGGGCAGCAGAGGGACAGGCUGCUUUAGGGCUCCUCAAGGAGCAUCUUGCUAGAGCAGAUGGACCCGUUUGGGAAGAGGGACGGCACGGGGCCCCUUUAGCCUGUCCGAAUAGCCUGUCUUGUUCCUAAUGUCCCAGAUCUGAGCAAAGCAACUGUCAGUGGUGAAAGCAGAAAGCAAAAGUCACCAAGAGCUCUCAUCUCAGCAGCUUCAUGCUAAGCGCUGACAUCUGCAGCCAACGCCCGUCACAGCACUCACCUAUGUGACACUCCCGUCCCAUUUACUGCCACAGAAAUAAAAAGUGGGGAGGCAGCAAGGUAUCGAGCUGCUUGGGCUUGCUGCAUGCUCAAUCCUGCUGUGUGGGGCCGGCGAAGGAUUGGGGUCACACGCCUCCGCAAUCCCAUGAGCCACAUGGGCCAGGACACUGUAGCUGCCAGAUAACAAACAGCACUGCAAACCACCAAUUCCCUUUUGAGCAUUUCUCCUAAGUUUCCAAGACAGAAUAACAUUAUUAUUUACCCCUUAAUGUUCCCGCAGGGCCCAGUGCCAUUGGCCUCUUCUAUCAUAAAGAAAUUAAAAUAUAUUAUGACCAUAAACUACAUCAUUUGAGGAAAUGAACCAUUUCUAGUAAAUGUAUCAUGGCAUGCCAAAGCCAUGAACUUUUCUAAAUCAAUUGUCAGCUGAUAAAGAAGGCAGCUAUUACCUAGGAGCAGCUCCCAGCACAUGGCUCCCCAAAGCCACUUCCAGCUCCACGUGCCAGCACAGAGGGCUCAUCCCGAGGUGGCCAGAGGCUCAGAGAAGCCCUGAAGGCCCAGAAUAGACCUUUUUCUCUGCCCCGGAGUCAAGCGGAGACCAUCAGAAACAGUUCAUGGAAGACCUUUGCGAGGUAUAGCAGUCCCACCGCUACCAUGAGGUUUCAAGUGGUUGUUGGCGCAGAGGGCCAACGGGGCUGAGUCUAAAGCAGAUGUCGGGGAAGACCUGUGCUGGAGGGGAGAUGGUAGACGGACACCAAAGAAACCUUUCUAAUAGUUCUGUGAAACCAAUAAUGUUUGGGUCACACAUGCUUUUCUCUCAGUUUUUUUUUAGCUUGAGUUUUGAGGGCCAUGUAAGACCACUGCAGACCUCUUGGGCUGCAGAGCAGGCAGGGAGCAGCGCAGGACCGAAGCUACCUGGUGAGUUAACAGGGCCUGACCCUGUGUCUGGCCACCCUGUGGCACCUCUGCUGAGGCCGCACGUGUGGGGGACAUCAGCGCCAAGCAAAGUCACCAGACACCAGCAGCUGGACUGAGAACGACCGAUUCACUUCCCCAGAGGCUCGGGCAGUUUCCAGGGGACAUCCAUGCGGUGCCAGCGCAGGGCCACCAUCUCUUCCCCACCAAAGGAGUCACGCCACCCUCUCCCCGUGCUCACGUAUGUGUCUCAAGAGCCCCAGAGCUGAGUUCAGGGAGAUCAGUCAGUGCCACCCACGUAUCAAGCAUGUUUGCUCAGCAGCCGUGGGGCAAAACCAAAACCAAAGACUCCAGGGUCUCUUUCAAGUGCCCUUGGAGGCUAUCAGCAGUUCAUAUGUGGGAACUGAGCACAUUUCCAUGGACAGUAAAAGAGAGAGAUGCUGAAUUUGGACAGUGGUGCUGAUUUGGCCUGAGGCAGUGGGAAUCUCUCAGGAGCAGAGAGGCCUUGAUGCCCAUCCUAAGGGAUGGACAUGAAUGGUUCCUGGUGGCUUCCUCAGAGCCACCAAGGCUGGUGUCACCUGCAAACAGCUGGGAAAACAGGAGGAGGAGGUGGGAGAGAAGGGAAACAUCAGCCUCAGGUUUCCUCUCCUGGAGGAGAUGUUGUGACACCUGACUACGCAUCCAAGAAAGAGACACUAGCCUGAACAGCUGCCUGACCAUGGAGAGCCUCUUACUGGCCCGCUACCCGAGGAGCAAUCCCAAGCCCUUGCCAAAAGCUCUCGCCAAGCUCCCCUUCCCUCUCCGGGGGCUUUGGAGCAGCCCUGCCGGGGCACCCACCGCGGGAGCCCGCAGGGUUACCGACGCCCUAUCGUCCACGCGAGCUCUGCAGCGCUGCCUGCGCACCGGCUCUUUCCCCGCCGGCUGAGUGACAGCAGCGGGAGCGCGCGGUACCUGGCGUUUCCUGGAGCAGGUCAUAGCGGCUGCCAUUCAUCUUCCAGGGGCGCUCGGCUCCGCGGGCAGAGCUAGAGGAGUGGGGCCCUCGGACGGGCACCGCCACGCAGCGAGCCCCCGGCGGGCCGCGAGCCGCGAGCCAUGCCCCCGGCGAGCGCCGAGGAGCUGCCUGGAGUGCGGCUGCAGGGAUCAGCUAAUCCCUUAAUGCUGGUCACAAUGAGAUUUGAUUGGGAGCAGGAGUUUGUGCCGCAGAGCUACAGGUUUUAAAGGGUCUGGCCAUGGCCCGGAUGGGAAUUAUAAGGUGGCUCCGGGUCUGCGCGCUGGGGUCGGUGGCUGUGCUUUCUGGGCCCCC